rnacentral:rRNA from 1 species
UGGGGAAUAUUGCACAAUGGGGGGAAACCCGUCGAUGCAGCGACGCCGCGUGAGCGAAGAAGUAUCUCGGUAUGUAAAGCUCUAUCAGCAGGGAAGAAAAUAGACGGUACCUGACUAAGAAGCCCCGGCUAACUACGUGCCAGCAGCCGCGGUAAUACGUAGGGGGCGAAGCGUUAUCCGGAUUUACUGGGUGUAAAGGGAGUGUAGGUGGCCAUGCAAGUCAGAAGUGAAAAUCCGGGGCUCAACCCCGGAACUGCUUUUGAAACUGUAAGGCUGGAGUGCAGGAGGGGUGAGUGGAAUUCCUAGUGUAGCGGUGAAAUGCGUAGAUAUUAGGAGGAACACCAGUGGCGAAGGCGGCUCACUGGACUGUAACUGACACUGAGGCUCGAAAGCGUGGGGAGCAAACAGGAUUAGAUACCCUGGUAGU